rnacentral:rRNA from 1 species
GUGAGGAAUAUUGCGCAAUGGAGGCAACUCUGACGCGGCCAUGCCGCGUGCAGGAAGAAGGCGCUACGCGUUGUAAACUGCUUUUAACCGGGAAGAAACCCCAGGACGUGUCCUGGGUUGACGGUACCGGAGGAAUAAGCACCGGCUAACUUCGUGCCAGCAGCCGCGGUAAUACGAAGGGUGCAAGCGUUAUCCGGAUUCAUUGGGUUUAAAGGGUGCGUAGGCGGAGCGUUAAGUCAGUGGUGAAAUCCUGCAGCUUAACUGUAGACUUGCCAUUGAUACUGGCGCUCUUGAGUGCGCUUGAAGUGGGCGGAAUGUGCCGUGUAGCGGUGAAAUGCUUAGAUAUGGCACAGAACACCAAUUGCGAAGGCAGCUCACUAAGGCGAUACUGACGCUGAGGCACGAAAGCGCGGGGAUCGAACAGGAUUAGAAACCCGAGUAGUCC